CCUACGUGAGGCUGCAGUGCGGAAUAUUGGUCAAUGGGCGCGAGCCUGAACCAGCCAAGUAGCGUGAAGGAUGACUUCCCUACGGGUUGUAAACUUCUUUUAUAAAGGACUAAAGUGAGGCACGUGUGCCUUUUUGUAUGUACUUUAUGAAUAAGGAUCGGCUAACUCCGUGCCAGCAGCCGCGGUAAUACGGAGGCUCCGAGCGUUAUCCGGAUUUAUUGGGUUUAAAGGGAGCGUAGAUGGGUUGUUAAGUCAGUUGUGAAAGUUUGCGGCUCAACCGUAAAAUUGCAAUUGAUACUGGCAGUCUUGAGUACAGUUGAGGUAGGCGGAAUUCGUGGUGUAGCGGUGAAAUGCUUAGAUAUCACGAAGAACUCCGAUUGCGAAGGCAGCUUACUAAACUGCCACUGACAUUGAUGCUCGAAAGUGUGGGUAUCAAACAGGAUUAGAUACCCUUGUAGUC
rnacentral:rRNA from 1 species